rnacentral:rRNA from 1 species
GAUGAACGCUGGCGGCGUGCUUAACACAUGCAAGUCGAGCGAGCAGAUGUGAAACGUUCCUUCGGAUGAAAUGUAAAAUGGAAAUCGGUGGACGGGGGAUUACCUCCCAGUCAACCUGCGCCAUAUUCAGGGAAAGCAUGCUGAAACGGAAAAAAAUAUUUUAUGACACGUAACAAGAGCAUGCUAGGGUGGUCAAGUAAUUAUUGGAAUGGGAUGGGCCUGCGUCUGAUUAGCUAGAUGGAGAGGUAACGCCGAACCAAGAGGACGAUCAGUACCCGACCUGCGAGGGUACACGGCCACAUUGGACCUGAGACACGGUCCGGGAUCCUACGGGAGGCAGCAGUGGGGAAUCUUGCCCAAUCGGGGAAACCCUGAUGCAGCUACGCCGCGUGAAACAUGAAGGCCAUUGAGUAGUAAAGUUCUGUUCUAGGUGAUGCAACCUGACAGUACCCUAGGAGAAAGCCCCGGCUAACUCCGUG